GACGAACGCUGGCGGCGUGCCUAAUACAUGCAAGUAGAACGCUGAAGGAGGAGCUUGCUCUUCUGGAUGAGUUGCGAACGGGUGAGUAACGCGUAGGUAACCUGCCUGGUAGCGGGGGAUAACUAUUGGAAACGAUAGCUAAUACCGCAUAACAGUAGAUGUUGCAUGACAUUUGCUUAAAAGGUGCAAUUGCACCACUACCAGAUGGACCUGCGUUGUAUUAGCUAGUUGGUGGGGUAACGGCUCACCAAGGCGACGAUACAUAGCCGACCUGAGAGGGUGAUCGGCGACACUGGGACUGAGACACGGCCCAGACUCCUACGGGAGGCAGCAGUAGGGAAUCUUCGGCAAUGGACGGAAGUCUGACCGAGCAACGCCGCGUGAGUGAAGAAGGUUUUCGGAUCGUAAAGCUCUGUUGUAAGAGAAGAACGAGUGUGAGAGUGGAAAGUUCACACUGUGACGGUAUCUUACCAGAAAGGGACGGCUAACUACGUG
rnacentral:rRNA from 1 species